rnacentral:rRNA from 1 species
AGAGUUUGAUCCUGGCUCAGAGUGAACGCUGGCGGCAGGCCUAACACAUGCAAGUCGAACGGCAGCACAGCAGUAGCAAUACUGUGGGUGGCGAGUGGCGGACGGGUGAGGAAUACAUCGGAAUCUACCUUGUCGUGGGGGAUAACGUAGGGAAACUUACGCUAAUACCGCAUACGAACUAUGGUUGAAAGCGGCGGACCGCAAGGCGUCGCGCGAUUGGAUGAGCCGAUGUCCGAUUAGCUAGUUGGCGGGGUAAAGGCCCACCAAGGCGACGAUCGGUAGCUGGUCUGAGAGGAUGAUCAGCCACACUGGAACUGAGACACGGUCCAGACUCCUACGGGAGGCAGCAGUGGGGAAUAUUGGACAAUGGGGGCAACCCUGAUCCAGCCAUGCCGCGUGUGUGAAGAAGGCCUUCGGGUUGUAAAGCACUUUUGUUGGGGAAGAAAAGCACUGGGCUAAUACCUUGGUGUCAUGACGGUACCCAAAGAAUAAGCACCGGCUAACUUCGUGCCAGCAGCCGCGGUAAUACGAAGGGUGCUAGCGUUGUUCGGAAUUACUGGGCGUAAAGGGCGCGUAGGCGGCCGUUUAAGUUAGGUGUGAAAGUCCUGGGCUCAACCUGGGGACUGCACUUAAUACUGGAUGGCUUGAAUUCGGGAGAGGAUAGCGGAAUUCCCAGUGUAGAGGUGAAAUUCGUAGAUAUUGGGAAGAACACCGGUGGCGAAGGCGGCUCACUGGACCGGCACUGACGCUGAGGCGCGAAAGCGUGGGGAGCAAACGGGAUUAGAUACCCUGGUAGUCC